rnacentral:rRNA from 1 species
GGGUAGUUACUUUCGGGUAAUGAGACCGGCGCACGGGUGCGUAACGCGUAUGCAAUCUACCUUUUACAGGGGAAUAGCCCAGAGAAAUUUGGAUUAAUGCCCCAUAGUAUGUAUGAAUCGCAUGGUUUAUAUAUUAAAGUUCCAACGGUAAAAGAUGAGCAUGCGUCCCAUUAGUUAGUUGGUAAGGUAACGGCUUACCAAGACGAUGAUGGGUAGGGGUCCUGAGAGGGAGAUCCCCCACACUGGUACUGAGACACGGACCAGACUCCUACGGGAGGCAGCAGUGAGGAAUAUUGGACAAUGGGCGCAAGCCUGAUCCAGCCAUGCCGCGUGCAGGAAGAAGCAUCUAUGGUGUGUAAACUGCUUUUGUACAGGAAGAAACACUCCCUCGUGAGGGAGCUUGACGGUACUGUAAGAAUAAGGAUCGGCUAACUCCGUGCCAGCAGCCGCGGUAAUAUGGAGGGUCCAAGCGUUAUCCGGAAUCAUUGGGUUUAAAGGGUCCGUAGGCGGUUUGAUAAGUCAGUGGUGAAAGCCCAUCGCUCAACGAUGGAACGGCCAUUGAUACUGUCAGACUUGAAUUACAAGGAAGUAACUAGAAUAUGUAGUGUAGCGGUGAAAUGCUUAGAUAUUACAUGGAAUACCAAUUGCGAAGGCAGGUUACUACUUGUGGAUUGACGCUGAUGGACGAAAGCGUGGGGAGCGAACAGGAUUAGAUACCCUGGUAGUCCACGCCGUAAACGAUGGAUACUAGCUGUUGGGAGCAAUCUCAGUGGCUAAGCGAAAGUGAUA